GUGUGGGCUAGAGCGAGCGAGCGAGAGCGGGCCUAUAAAUUUCAUAUGUGCAAUGUUUGUGCCUGGCUGCUGUGCUGUGCGUUGUAUCAGCUAACCGGAUGUUGAUUUGUUGGCCGCAACAAACACAAAACAUGGUCCAAGCCAAGCAGCAGCCAUCUUAACACUCACACCCAUAUCCACCAACACACACACACACACAUAGAGAGAGAGACACACGCACACCCUCGCUGGUACAUUUGCAACACUGGCGCUGCCUUUAAGCACGAUGAAAAAGAAUGCAAAAUGAUGCUAGAUAAAAGACUUGCAACACGCUUGAAUGAGGCCAGAAAACAAAGCCAGACAAGAGUGCAUAUUCACAUACUCCCUAUACACUCCUUAUAUACUCUCUCUCUUUCUCUCUCUCUCUCUUUAUCUACUCUAUAUUCUAUAUAUAGGCAGCCAUGGAACGGACAAGCACAGCUUUAAAUAGAAACUAAAAGACUGACAGCGCUAGAGCCAGACAAAUUGAUCUGGCUACGAGCUGACGAAGCAGUUUCCCCAACAAUAAUCCGCACACAUGCUUGUAAAUGAGAGGCCACAAAUUUAUGCCAAGUGCCCGGGGCAGAGGAGACGGGACACGGUACGCAGGAUGCAGGAUGAAGAACGAAGUACGAAGGAUGAAGGCCGGGAUGCGUUCUCUAGCACACACUUCCGGCACGAGCACGUCAGACUUGACUUGACUUGAGACUUCAGAAAACUUGGCUACUCUCGCUCUAUCUGUCUCUGUUUUUCGCUUCAGAGCGGGGGGCGUGGCAGCACCCCCCGAAGUCUCAGGUAAUUAUGCAUAUUUAAGCAGUUUUGUCUACAACAGUUUUGCGAACCUAAAAGCGUCCUUUCAAAUGAAUUAUUUAUGCAAACUGUGCGAGGGGGUCGCAGGGCGCGGCUGGGCGGGGCGUGGCGUGGCACAGAGCACAUAGCUAGGAUCCUGGCAUAUGCAAACAUUACCUCAAGUCGUUGUCAAGCGGAUUUGAUGGAGCCUGGGGCCUGACAGCCCCGUUGUAUACGUAAUGUGGUAAUGUGUUUAUGCGCUCUUUAAAGCCCAUCCGCACACACACACACACACACACACACACAAUCGUACCGGCACGCUCACGCACACACAUUGAGGGCAGACUGUAGCUAUAAUUGCGUCCCUCUAAAUACACAUGGAAAUGCCAUAACAUGUAUAUAGAAAUGUGUACCUCUAUAUUGCGCCUUGAAAUUAAUGCCACACUAUUAAUGCUAAUGUCGAAACAUCGCUCCAGCGCACUUCACAUUUGUCAAUGACGAAACAUUUACGCCAGCCAUACCCUAUCGACAAAAACAACAAGUAGGUUAGAG